ensembl:lncRNA
CCAGAUUUUGGCCCCUCUAGUAGAUUUGUUGUGAUAUCUCAUUGUUCUUUUUAUUUGCAUUUCCCUGUUGACAUAUAUUGUGUAGAGAAUCUUUUCAUAUACUUAACCAUCUGAUAGCUUCUUUAGAGAGAUCUUUUCUCCUUUUUCAAAGAUCUGUUAACUGUAUUUAUGGGUAGUCUAUUUCUGGGCUAUCCAUUCGGUUCCAGUAAUCAGUUUAGCUUUUCCUUCAUCAAUAAAUGCUGUCUUGAUUACUGUCACUUUAUAGUAAGUCUUGAAGUCAGGCAGUGUCAGUCUUCCAACUUUGUUCUUCUCCUUUACUAUUGUCUUGACUGUUCUGGGUUUUCUGCCAAUUCAUGUAAACUUUAGAAUCUCUUUGUCAAUAUACAUAAGGAAACUUGCUAGAAUUUUGAUUGGGAUUGCAUUGAAUCCGUAGAUCAAAUUGGGAAGAACUGACAUCUUGACAAUAUUGAGUCUUCCUGUUCCAAGAACAUUUAUUCUCCAUUUAUUUAGCUCUUCUCUUGGUUUAAUUAUUCAGAGUUUUUCAGUUUUCCUUGUAUAGACCUUGUACAUACAUUGUUAGAUUUAUACAUAAGCAUUUCAUUUUGGGUGGGGGGUGGCUAAUGUAAAUGGUUGGAGAAGGAAAUGGCAACCCACUCCAGUAUUCUUGCCUAGGAAAUCCCAUGGACAUAGGAUCCCAUAGAGCCUGGCGGGCUACAGUCCAUGGAGUCUCAAGAGUCGGACACUACUGAGCAAGUAAACCACCACCGAUGUAAAUGGGUGUGACUACUAAGAAGCAGAGAUCAUCAUGGGCUACCUUUGAGACUCACUACCAGCAAAUGUUGGCUGUCUUUAUGAUUUUUUUUCCUAUUUCGUACAGAUUUUAAAGCUUAUCCUUAAGAGUGUUGGCCUAAAUUACCUUUUCCUUUUUUUAAAAAAGUAACUGUUUUACAUAUGUGUAUAUUCUUAAUCAGUAUACUGAUAUCUCCUGAAUUUGUUCUUGAAAAAUCAGAUCUUCUGUGUAAAAAUAACAUAUCAUAAAAUAGUAAAACACCCUUAAACAAGGGGCAAGCUAUCAAGUUAGGAUUACAGUGUUUAAAAUAACAUCUUCUGAUUGUUAAAUUAUGUCCAGUUUUGCCCUGUGUAUUUUGAGACUAUUUCACUAGAUAUAAUAUAAUGGUCACCAUUUCAUAGGGAUUCUCUUUGUUUCUAAAUAUAUAUUUGUCUUGGCCUUUCUAUGUUUCUUUGGUUAAUAGUUGCCUCGUACACACAUAUAUUCUUUAAUUUCUGUGUCCUUUUAGGAAUAUCCCAUAAAUAAUAUAUCUGAA